rnacentral:rRNA from 1 species
GUGGGGAAUUUUGGACAAUGGGCGCAAGCCUGAUCCAGCCAUGCCGCGUGCGGGAAGAAGGCCUUCGGGUUGUAAACCGCUUUUGUCAGGGAAGAAAUCCUUUGGGUUAAUACCCUAGGGGGAUGACGGUACCUGAAGAAUAAGCACCGGCUAACUACGUGCCAGCAGCCGCGGUAAUACGUAGGGUGCAAGCGUUAAUCGGAAUUACUGGGCGUAAAGCGUGCGCAGGCGGUUUUGUAAGACAGAGGUGAAAUCCCCGGGCUCAACCUGGGAACUGCCUUUGUGACUGCAAAGCUCGAGUGCGGCAGAGGGGGAUGGAAUUCCGCGUGUAGCAGUGAAAUGCGUAGAUAUGCGGAGGAACACCGAUGGCGAAGGCAAUCCCCUGGGCCUGCACUGACGCUCAUGCACGAAAGCGUGGGGAGCAAACAGGAUUAGAUACCCUGGUAGUCC